rnacentral:rRNA from 1 species
UGGGGAAUAUUGGACAAUGGGCGCAAGCCUGAUCCAGCGACGCCGCGUGUGUGAAGAAGGCCUGCGGGUUGUAAAACUCUUUCGUCGGGGACGAUAAUGACGGUACCCGAAGAAGAAGCUCCGGCUAACUUCGUGCCAGCAGCCGCGGUAAUACGAAGGGAGCUAGCGUUGUUCGGAAUCACUGGGCGUAAAGCGCACGUAGGCGGAUAGUUAAGUCAGGGGUGAAAUCCUGGGGCUCAACCCCAGAACUGCCUUUGAUACUGGCUGUCUCGAGGUCGAGAGAGGUUGGUGGAAUUCCUAGUGUAGAGGUGAAAUUCGUAGAUAUUAGGAAGAACACCAGUGGCGAAGGCGGCCAACUGGCUCGAUACUGACGCUGAGGUGCGAAAGCGUGGGGAGCAAACAGGAUUAGAUACCCUAGUAGUCCCUGAGCGGGCUGGCAAGGCGCAU